rnacentral:rRNA from 1 species
GUCAUAGAUAUGGCGCCUGGAUGGUCUAUUAUUGAAAGGGCACUGGAAACAUGCCUCCAGUGUUGCCCAAGGAUGGGACUGCGGCCGAUCAGGUUGUUGGUGGGGUAACGGCCCACCAAGCCGAUAACCGGUACGGGCCCUGAGAGGGGGAGCCCGGAGAUGGGAACUGAGACAAGGUCCCAGGCCCUACGGGGCGCAGCAGGCGCGAAACCUCCACAAUGCGCGAAAGCGUGAUGGGGUUACCCCGAGUGCCGUCCGAUGAGGAGGGCUUUUCCCCAGUGUAAGGAGCUGGGGGAAUAAAGGGGGGGCAAGACUGGUGUCAGCCGCCGCGGUAAUACCAGCCCCCUGAGUGAUAGGGACGAUUAUUUAGCCUAAAGCGUCCGUAGCCGGCUUAGCAAGUCUUUCGUUAAAUCUGACGACUUAAUCGUUAGGCUGCGGAAGAUACUACUGGGCUAGAGGGCGGGAGAGGUUGACGGUAGUCCCGGGGUAGGGGUGAAAUCCAAUAAUCCCGGGAGGACCACCAAUGGCGAAGGCGGUCAACUAGAACGCGCCUGACGGUGAGGGACGAAAGCUGGGGUAGCGAACCGGAUUAGACACCCGGGUAGUCCCAGCUGUAAACGAUGCGGGCUAGGUGUUGGGGUAGCUACGAG